rnacentral:tRNA from 2 species
CGGAUGUAGCCAAGUGGAUCAAGGCAGUGGAUUGAGAAUCCACCAUACGCG